rnacentral:tRNA from 2 species
GCGCCCGUGGCGGAAUUGGCAGACGCGCUGGAUUUAGGUUCCAGUGUCCUAGGACGUGGGAGUUCAAGUCUCCCCGGGCGCACCA